GACGAACGCUGGCGGCGUGCUUAACACAUGCAAGUCGAACGGUGAACCAGAGCUUGCUCUGGGGAUCAGUGGCGAACGGGUGAGUAACACGUGGGCAACCUGCCCAGACUCUGGGAUAACCUCGGGAACCGAUGCUAAUACCGGAUACGACCACUUCGGACAUCCGACGGUGGUGGAAGUUUUCGGUCUGGAUGGGCCGCGGCCUAUCAGCUAGUUGGUGGGGUAAUGGCCUACCAAGGCGACGACGGUAGUCGGCCUGAGAGGGCGACCGGCCACACUGGAACUGAGACACGGUCCAGACUCCUACGGGAGGCAGCAGUGAGGAAUAUUGCACAAUGGGCGAAAGCCUGAUGCAGCGACGCCGCGUGAGGGACGAC
rnacentral:rRNA from 1 species